rnacentral:lncRNA from 1 species
GCAGCCCGGUGCCACGGGCGCUGCUUGGAUUCCCCUGCAAGCGCGGGGCUGUGGCUACAGGCAGGGAGAGGCAGUGUCACCUGCCAAGUCACGCCUUCGGCUGCAGGUGCCGGAGGGAGGCUGCGCACCCAUAAAGCCAGAGGAAGGCUGUGUGUGUUUAAAAACGGUUGUGGCGAUACGAGAGCGCGGUGUGUGCGUGCACAGCACCUGGAGAUCACGUUGAGGGCUGAGCAGGUUGGGUUUUCUGCCGCUCGCUGCAAACCUGCAGGGCACCGAUGCAUAGCGUGUGUGUAAGGUGAGCCCCCCACCCCGCUCAGGGUGAGCCCACUGUGAGUCUGCGGUGCUGAUUUAUUAAAUGGCGCGGCCUUUCUUGUGCCAGAGGGGAAUGUUUUCAUGCUGGAUCUUGACACAUGGGUGAGGUUAACCAGCUGCAUCCUCUGGAGGAUUUAUAGCUGCCUGUCAGGGAGCAUCGUGCUCGGGUCUGCACCAGGAAACCGACGCACUCCCCCAGGCUGCGUGACUGCAGGGCUCCCUGAGGCUUAAACUGUCCCUCUGGGGUAGGUAAACUGUGGGAUUAAAUCCUACCUCGCCAGGGAAAGCUGCAGUUAGGGAAUAAAGGUCAUUCCCAGUCAAAGAAAAAAAACUGUGCCACUAUCUGCAGAAGAACAGUUUUCUCCCAGAACCCAAUCUCUCCUGCGGUGCCCAAAAACUGGCCGACUUCCAACCGGUGCUUUCCACUCAGCCUUUCAGUGCAGCUUUACUUGCAUCUUCCAGGUCCCAGCUACAGCAAAAGUGGAGGAGCCCUAGGGACACCCCACCGGCACGAUGCUGUAACACACAGAGGCAAUCGAUGCUCACCUGACACCACCACCAGAGAAACAUCCAGCCUGAGUACACAGUGUGAGAUGGCAGAGCAAACAACCCCCAUGAACAAGUCCUGCUGCGUGUGCCAAGGCUCUAAAGACUUGUUGGUGCGUUGUCUCAGCCUUGUAGACUUCUUCACGUUGCAUGGAACUACGGAACAGCUUCCUGAAGAAUUUAAGGCAAAGCAUCUGUCAAGAACACACAACCAAAACUAG